rnacentral:tRNA from 1 species
GGUAAGUUAAUUCAGUGGGUAGAGCUUAGGGCUAAGGACCAUAAGGUCCCAGGUUCGAAGCUUGCCCUCGCCA